UACGUAGGGGGCAAGCGUUAUCCGGAAUUAUUGGGCGUAAAGAGCGUGUAGGCGGUCCGGUAAGUCAGCUGUGAAAGUCAAGGGCUCAACCCUUGAAUGCCGGUUGAUACUGUCGGGCUAGAGUCCGGAAGAGGCGAGUGGAAUUCCCGGUGUAGCGGUGAAAUGCGCAGAUAUCGGGAGGAACACCAACGGCGAAAGCACUCUGCUGGGCCGACACUGACACUGAGAGACGAAAGCUAGGGGAGCGAAUGGG
rnacentral:rRNA from 1 species